rnacentral:rRNA from 1 species
GAUGAACGCUGGCGGCAUGCCUAAUACAUGCAAGUCGAGCGAACGGACGAGAAGCUUGCUUCUCUGAUGUUAGCGGCGGACGGGUGAGUAACACGUGGAUAACCUACCUAUAAGACUGGGAUAACUUCGGGAAACCGGAGCUAAUACCGGAUAAUAUUUUGAACCGCAUGGUUCAAAAGUGAAAGACGGUCUUGCUGUCACUUAUAGAUGGAUCCGCGCUGCAUUAGCUAGUUGGUAAGGUAACGGCUUACCAAGGCAACGAUGCAUAGCCGACCUGAGAGAGUGAUCGGCCACACUGGAACUGAGACACGGUCCAGACUCCUACGGGAGGCAGCAGUAGGGAAUCUUCCGCAAUGGGCGAAAGCCUGACGGAGCAACGCCGCGUGAGUGAUGAAGGUCUUCGGAUCGUAAAACUCUGUUAUUAGGGAAGAACAUAUGUGUAAGUAACUGUGCACAUCUUGACGGUACCUAAUCAGAAAGCCACGGCUAACUACGUG